ACAGGGAUUGCCCUAGUAACGGCGAGUGAAGCGGCAACAGCUCAAAUUUGAAAUCUGGCGUCUUCGGCGUCCGAGUUGUAAUUUGCAGAGGGCGCUUUGGCAUUGGCAGCGGUCCAAGUUCCUUGGAACAGGACGUCACAGAGGGUGAGAAUCCCGUACGUGGUCGCUAGCCUUUACCGUGUAAAGCCCCUUCGACGAGUCGAGUUGUUUGGGAAUGCAGCUCUAAAUGGGAGGUAAAUUUCUUCUAAAGCUAAAUACUGGCCAGAGACCGAUAGCGCACAAGUAGAGUGAUCGAAAGAUGAAAAGCACUUUGGAAAGAGAGUUAAAAAGCACGUGAAAUUGUUGAAAGGGAAGCGCUUGCAGCCAGACUUGCCUGUAGUUGCUCAUCCGGGUUUCUACCCGGUGCACUCUUCUAUAGGCAGGCCAGCAUCAGUUUGGGCGGUUGGAUAAAGGUCUCUGUCAUGUACCUCCUCUCGGGGAGAACUUAUAGGGGAGACGACAUGCAACCAGCCCGGACUGAGGUCCGCGCAUCUGCUAGGAUGCUGGCGUAAUGGCUGUAAGCGGCCCGUCUUGAAACACGGACCAAGGAGUCUAACAUCUAUGCGAGUGUUUGGGUGUCAAGCCCGAACGCGUAAUGAAAGUGAACGGAGGUGGGAACCUUUCGGGGUGCACCAUCGACCGAUCCUGAUGUCUUCGGAUGGAUUUGAGUAAGAGCAUAGCUGUUGGGACCCGAAAGAUGGUGAACUAUGCUUGAAUAGGGUGAAGCCAGAGGAAACUCUGGUGGAGGCUCGCAGCGGUUCUGACGUGCAAAUCGAUCGUCAAAUUUGGGCAUAGGGGCGAAAGACUAAUCGAACUAUCUAGUAGCUGGUUCCUGCCGAAGUUUCCCUCAGGAUAGCAGUAACGUUUUCAGUUUUAUGAGGUAAAGCGAAUGAUUAGAGGCCUGGGGGUUGAAACAACCUU
rnacentral:rRNA from 4 species